rnacentral:rRNA from 1 species
UGCCAGCCGCCGCGGUAAUACGGAGGGUGCAAGCGUUGUUCGGAAUUAUUGGGCGUAAAGCGCGUGUAGGCGGUUCGUUAAGUCUGAUGUGAAAGCCCGGGGCUCAACCCCGGAAGUGCACUUGAAACAGCAAGACUUGAAUACGGUAGAGGAGAGAGGAAUUCCUGGUGUAGAGGUGAAAUCCGUAGAUAUUGGGAAGAACACCGGUGGCGAAGGCGGCCACCUGGUCCGGAACUGACGCUGAGGUGCGAAGGCGUGGGUAGCGAACGGGAUUAGAUA